rnacentral:rRNA from 1 species
CACGUAGGGAGCAAGCGUUGUCCGGAUUUAUUGGGCGUAAAGAGCUCGUAGGCUGUUCGAUAAGUCGGGUGUGAAACCUCCAGGCUCAACCUGGAGACGCCACCCGAUACUGUCAUGACUAGAGUCCGGUAGGGGAGCGUGGAAUUCCUGGUGUAGCGGUGAAAUGCGCAGAUAUCAGGAGGAACACCGAUGGCGAAGGCAGCUCGCUGGGACGGUACUGACGCUGAGGCGCGAAAGCGUGGGGAGCAAACAGG